rnacentral:rRNA from 1 species
CAGCCGCCGCGGUAAUACGGAGGGUGCAAGCGUUAAUCGGAAUUACUGGGCGUAAAGGGUGCGUAGGCGGUUUGGCAAGUCUCAUGUGAAAUCAUCGGGCUCAACUCGAUGGCUGCAUGGGAAACUGCCGGGCUUGAGUAUGGGAGAGGUGAGUGGAAUCUCCGGUGUAGCGGUGAAAUGCGUAGAUAUCGGAAGGAACACCUGUGGCGAAAGCGGCUCACUGGACCAUUACUGACGCUGAGGCACGAAAGCUAGGGGAGCAAACAGGAUUAGAUACCCCGGUAGUCCCUGUCUCUUAUAC